UUGAACGCUGGCGGCAGGCCUAACACAUGCAAGUCGAGCGGUAGCACAGAGAGCUUGCUCUCGGGUGACGAGCGGCGGACGGGUGAGUAAUGUCUGGGAAACUGCCUGAUGGAGGGGGAUAACUACUGGAAACGGUAGCUAAUACCGCAUAAUGUCGCAAGACCAAAGUGGGGGACCUUCGGGCCUCAUGCCAUCAGAUGUGCCCAGAUGGGAUUAGCUAGUAGGUGGGGUAACGGCUCACCUAGGCGACGAUCCCUAGCUGGUCUGAGAGGAUGACCAGCCACACUGGAACUGAGACACGGUCCAGACUCCUACGGGAGGCAGCAGUGGGGAAUAUUGCACAAUGGGCGCAAGCCUGAUGCAGCCAUGCCGCGUGUGUGAAGAAGGCCUUCGGGUUGUAAAGCACUUUCAGCGGGGAGGAAGGCGUUAAGGUUAAUAACCUUGGCGAUUGACGUUACCCGCAGAAGAAGCACCGGCUAACUCCGUGCCAGCAGCCGCGGUAAUACGGAGGGUGCAAGCGUUAAUCGGAAUUACUGGGCGUAAAGCGCACGCAGGCGGUCUGUCAAGUCGGAUGUGAAAUCCCCGGGCUCAACCUGGGAACUGCAUUCGAAACUGGCAGGCUAGAGUCUUGUAGAGGGGGGUAGAAUUCCAGGUGUAGCGGUGAAAUGCGUAGAGAUCUGGAGGAAUACCGGUGGCGAAGGCGGCCCCCUGGACAAAGACUGACGCUCAGGUGCGAAAGCGUGGGGAGCAAACAGGAUUAGAUACCCUGGUAGUCCACGCCGUAAACGAUGUCGAUUUGGAGGUUGUGCCCUUGAGGCGUGGCUUCCGGAGCUAACGCGUUAAAUCGACCGCCUGGGGAGUACGGCCGCAAGGUUAAAACUCAAAUGAAUUGACGGGGGCCCGCACAAGCGGUGGAGCAUGUGGUUUAAUUCGAUGCAACGCGAAGAACCUUACCUGGUCUUGACAUCCACAGAACUUUCCAGAGAUGGAUUGGUGCCUUCGGGAACUGUGAGACAGGUGCUGCAUGGCUGUCGUCAGCUCGUGUUGUGAAAUGUUGGGUUAAGUCCCGCAACGAGCGCAACCCUUAUCCUUUGUUGCCAGCGGUCCGGCCGGGAACUCAAAGGAGACUGCCAGUGAUAAACUGGAGGAAGGUGGGGAUGACGUCAAGUCAUCAUGGCCCUUACGACCAGGGCUACACACGUGCUACAAUGGCAUAUACAAAGAGAAGCGACCUCGCGAGAGCAGGCGGACCUCAUAAAGUAUGUCGUAGUCCGGAUUGGAGUCUGCAACUCGACUCCAUGAAGUCGGAAUCGCUAGUAAUCGUAGAUCAGAAUGCUACGGUGAAUACGUUCCCGGGCCUUGUACACACCGCCCGUCACACCAUGGGAGUGGGUUGCAAAAGAAGUAGGUAGCUUAACCUUCGGGAGGGCGCUUACCACUUUGUGAUUCAUGACUGGGGUG
rnacentral:rRNA from 1 species